rnacentral:rRNA from 1 species
GAUGAACGCUGGCGGCGUGCCUAAUACAUGCAAGUCGAGCGAACAGACGAGGAGCUUGCUCCUCUGACGUUAGCGGCGGACGGGUGAGUAACACGUGGAUAACCUACCUAUAAGACUGGGAUAACUUCGGGAAACCGGAGCUAAUACCGGAUAAUAUAUUGAACCGCAUGGUUCAAUAGUGAAAGACGGUUUUGCUGUCACUUAUAGAUGGAUCCGCGCCGCAUUAGCUAGUUGGUAAGGUAACGGCUUACCAAGGCAACGAUGCGUAGCCGACCUGAGAGGGUGAUCGGCCACACGGGAACUGAGACACGGUCCAGACUCCUACGGGAGGCAGCAGUAGGGAAUCGUCCGCAAAGGGCGAAAGCCUGACGGAGCAACGCCGCGUGAGUGAUGAAGGUCUUCGGAUCGUAAAACUCUGUUAUUAGGGAAGAACAAAUGUGUAAGUAACUAUGCACGUCUUGACGGUACCUAAUCAGAAAGCCACGGCUAACUACGUG